rnacentral:ncRNA from 1 species
UUAAAAGCGAUGAAAGGAACUAGUAACUUAUUCUUUUUAUUCAAGAGAGCCGAUGGCUGGUGUGAAUCGGUAUAAAAAAUAAGUGAAUCCAUCCUUGAGUAGUAUACGGAAAAAGAAGUAUACUCGGUGAUAAACCGUUAUCCAAAACGAAGCCGGGAGAAGUCUAUUCUCCAAUCAGGGUGGUAUCGCGGGAAAACUCUCGUCCCUACU